rfam:Gossypium arboreum cultivar AKA8401 contig_32592_1, whole genome shotgun sequence.
UAUUAAAAAUUUUAUCUAUUUAUACUAUUAAGAACUGACUUGGCUGGUAGAAUAAUCAAUUAGUGACUUAUGACAUGUCGCGUAUGCCUUGUAUUAACAUAUAAGGACUAGUUUUUAACAAUAAAAAUAGAUGAAAUUUUUAACA